AGAGUUUGAUCCUGGCUCAGGAUGAACGCUAGCGAUAGGCUUAACACAUGCAAGUCGAGGGGCAGCAUGGUCUUAGCUUGCUAAGACUGAUGGCGACCGGCGCACGGGUGCGUAACGCGUAUGCAACUUGCCUCACAGAGGGGGAUAACCCGUCGAAAGACGGACUAAUACCGCGUACACUCUAUGUUGGGCAUCCAAUGUAGAGGAAAUGAACUUCGCUGUGAGAUAGGCAUGCGUCCCAUUAGCUAGUUGGUGAGGUAACGGCUCACCAAGGCGACGAUGGGUAGGGGAACUGAGAGGUUGAACCCCCACACUGGUACUGAGACACGGACCAGACUCCUACGGGAGGCAGCAGUGAGGAAUAUUGGUCAAUGGGCGAGAGCCUGAACCAGCCAAGUCGCGUGAAGGAUGACUGUCUUAUGGAUUGUAAACUUCUUUUAUACGGGAAUAACAAGAGUCACGUGUGACUCCCUGCAUGUACCGUAUGAAUAAGCAUCGGCUAACUCCGUGCCAGCAGCCGCGGUAAUACGGAGGAUGCGAGCGUUAUCCGGAUUUAUUGGGUUUAAAGGGUGCGUAGGCGGCCUGUUAAGUCAGCGGUGAAAUCUAGGAGCUUAACUCCUAAAUUGCCAUUGAUACUGGCGGGCUUGAGUGUAGAUGAGGUAGGCGGAAUGCGUGGUGUAGCGGUGGAAUGCAUAGAUAUCACGCAGAACUCCGAUUGCGAAGGCAGCUUACUAAGGUACAACUGACGCUGAAGCACGAAAGCGUGGGUAUCAAACAGGAUUAGAUACCCUGGUAGUCCACGCAGUAAACGAUGAUAACUGGGCGUAUGCGAUAUACAGUAUGCUCCUAAGCGAAAGCGUUAAGUUAUCCACCUGGGGAGUACGCCGGCAACGGUGAAACUCAAAGGAAUUGACGGGGGCCCG
rnacentral:rRNA from 2 species